rnacentral:tRNA from 1 species
GGAGCGGCGCCCGGUCUGGUGGCCGGCCCGGUCUUCAAAACCGGUUGUUGGGCGGUAGCCCCGUCCAGGGUGGGUUCGAUUCCCAUGCCGCUCCG